rnacentral:lncRNA from 1 species
UCAUACAAUUUUUUAUUGCUACAUGCGAAGAAAAAAUAUGGCUCAAAUUCUCAAAAUUUGUUCUAUUAUGAUUAUUAUUUUUUUAAUAUUUAUCAUUGAAACCGAUGGCGGUUAGUCCAUAUUCUUUUUUUUUCUUUCAAAUUUUCUUUAUUUAUCUUUUUUAUUAAAGAAUUUUUUUUUUCAUCUUAUAUAUAUUGUUUCGUUUCCUAUUACUAACAUUCAUUUUUUUCUUAUUAGAUAUCACAGAAAAACCACCCUGCAGAAGAACUAAAGAUUGUCCUCGUGACUUGUGUCUUCCUCCUUUUACUGUAAAGUGUAUCAAGUUUUAUUGUCGUUGUAGUUUCAUUUAGCAAUUAAGUUUAAAAAUAAUUACAUGGUACUUCUAAGAAUAUAAUU